GACGAACGCUGGCGGCGUGCUUAACACAUGCAAGUCGAGCGGAAAGGCCCUUCGGGGUACUCGAGCGGCGAACGGGUGAGUAACACGUGAGCAACCUGCCCUGGACUUUGGGAUAACCCUCGGAAACGGGGGCUAAUACCGAAUACGACUACUGGCCGCAUGGUUGGUGGUGGAAAGUUUUUCGGUCUGGGAUGGGCUCGCGGCCUAUCAGCUUGUUGGUGGGGUGAUGGCCUACCAAGGCGACGACGGGGUAGCCGGCCUGAGAGGGCGACCGGCCACACUGGGACUGAGACACGGCCCAGACUCCUACGGGAGGCAGCAGUGGGGAAUAUUGCACAAUGGGCGGAAGCCUGAUGCAGCGACGCCGCGUGAGGGAUGACGGCCUUCGGUU
rnacentral:rRNA from 1 species